CAAAUUGAGAGUUUGAUCCUGGCUCAGGAUGAACGCUGGCGGCGUGCCUAAUACAUGCAAGUCGAACGCUUUGUGGUUCAACUGAUUUGAAGAGCUUGCUCAGAUAUGACGAUGAACAUUGCAAAGAGUGGCGAACGGGUGAGUAACACGUGGGAAACCUACCUCUUAGCAGGGGAUAACAUUUGGAAACAGAUGCUAAUACCGUAUAACAAUAGCAACCGCAUGGUUGCUACUUAAAAGAUGGUUCUGCUAUCACUAAGAGAUGGUCCCGCGGUGCAUUAGUUAGUUGGUGAGGUAAUGGCUCACCAAGACGAUGAUGCAUAGCCGAGUUGAGAGACUGAUCGGCCACAAUGGGACUGAGACACGGCCCAUACUCCUACGGGAGGCAGCAGUAGGGAAUCUUCCACAAUGGGCGAAAGCCUGAUGGAGCAACGCCGCGUGUGUGAUGAAGGGUUUCGGCUCGUAAAACACUGUUGUAAGAGAAGAAUGACAUUGAGAGUAACUGUUCAAUGUGUGACGG
rnacentral:rRNA from 1 species